GUAUAUUUCCUACCCUUUAGAGUCAGUUCCCAACAAGGGUCCUCCUGCCUGGAGUAGCUUUUGCCAAUAGAAUAAGACCAAGUUCAGUUCAGAAGCAAAGGAAAGCUUUAGUUUUCCAUGAAAGGAUGGAGAGGUGCUCGCUCUCACUCCAAAGCACAGAUGUCACAUGACAGGCUGUGGGCGGGGCUGCUUCAUGGGCCCUCCUCCAGGGAGAGGGCGGAGUUCUCUCGCGCAGGCGCAGCAGGGCUGCUUAGCGUCUCUGCACACAGCCAACAGUGCCACCUUGGACUGAGAUUCCUGAGCAGCGCUUUUGUGCGCAGUCCCAAGCUGAGGUGUUGGCACAGCCGUUUUGCACUAGGAACUCUGGUCUGAAGUGCUAGGGGCAAAGCCUCUGCACCAGGCACCCUAUACGCAAGUGUCACUAGAAGAAGCACAAAGGAAAAGAAAAAGCAUAUGUUGCUUCCUACUAUGUGUCAGGCCCCAUGUGAAGUAUUGGGGUGCAGAGCUAAAUAAGCUACAGUCCAGCCCUCAGGGAGCAUACAGGCUGAGUGGAGGAGACCACCAAGGACAGGAGCCCACCCUAGAAAUGGUUCUUGGCACCUCCUCCAGGAAUCUCCCAUUGCUGAUCUCACUGCCCAGUUAUUCCAUCUCCCAGACCAUCCAGAAUCCUGAUGUCCAACCACACAAGCAUUCUUCAUCCGGCACAUUUUCCAACACCUGUUUUUGACAGACCUCCAGAAUUAGUACUUACGUAACAGUUUUCAGACCACAUGUGGAACAGCAAUGCCCUCCAGCCCUGGCAAGAAGGCUCUGCACGUGGUCAUCACUGGAUAGGCUUUAUGGAAUCCUUUAGAAACUCCAGUGCUCCUCCAGAUGUCUGAAGAAUGUACAGAGGAGUAUAGGAGGAGUCUUUGUGGAGGCUCUGUUAGAAUGAAGAGGCCCCUCUGUGAUGAUGUUUGCAAGAUUUGUGUGAGGACACCAGUUCUACUGUCUAAAUAGCUUCAUGAACCUGAACUUCUUAUCUCAAUGUGGCCUUGACCUGAAGCUAGACCAAGUUCUUAAACUCUUUUGUGCCAAUAGACCUAGUUGAUAGUUUAGGGAGGCCUGUGGAUCUUUCUGCAGAAUGUUUUAAUGUCAGUGUUUUAAAUGCAGAAAAGAAAAACCACGGGAUUUCAAAAGAAAUCAGUUAUUCUCAAAUACAAUUAAUAAAAUGUGUGGUUCACAAA